rnacentral:rRNA from 1 species
AGGACUAACGCUGGCGGCGUGCCUAACACAUGCAAGUCGAACGGGGUAGCAAUACCCAGUGGCAGACGGGUGAGUAACACGUGGUCAACCUACCUCUGUGUGGGGGAUAACUAGCCGAAAGGUUAGCUAAUACCGCAUACGAUCGUUUUGAGGCAUCUCGAGACGAUGAAAGGAGCAAUCCGCACGGAGAGGGGACUGCGUCCCAUUAGUUAGUUGGUGGGGUAACGGCCUACCAAGACUCCGAUGGGUAGCUGGCUUGAGAGAGCGACCAGCCACACUGGAACUGAGAAACGGUCCAGACUCCUACGGGAGGCAGCAGUGAGGAAUUUUCCGCAAUGGGCGAAAGCCUGACGGAGCGACGCCGCGUGUGGGAUGAAGGCCUUCGGGUCGUAAACCACUGUCGAAGGGACGAUAAUGACGGUACCCUUGGAGGAAGCCCCGGCUAACUACGUGCCAGCAGCCGC